rnacentral:SRP_RNA from 1 species
CUGGGAUAGGCGGGGUGAUAGCGGUGCCCUGUACCCGAAAACCGCUUUAUGCGGGGCUGAAUUCCCUCCCGAGCAUAAUGAUCGGAUACCGUAAUUCAUUCAGGUCGGCCGCCGCGCAACAGACGGUUACAAACCUCGUCAGGUCCGGAAGGAAGCAGCGAUAAGUAAUGGCGCCUGUGUCGCGGAUCGUUCCCGUCCGGAUAAUGGUCCGGCGUUUUUUGCUGCCGUUCGACGGAGGGUUCACAA